UAGGGAAUCUUCCACAAUGGACGAAAGUCUGAUGGAGCAACGCCGCGUGAGCGAAGAAGGUUUUCGGAUCGUAAAGCUCUGUUGCGAGGGAAGAACAAGUACGGGAGUAACUGACCGUACCUUGACGGUACCUCGUCAGAAAGCCACGGCUAACUACGUGCCAGCAGCCGCGGUAAUACGUAGGUGGCAAGCGUUGUCCGGAAUUAUUGGGCGUAAAGCGCGCGCAGGCGGUCCUUUAAGUCUGAUGUGAAAGCCCACGGCUCAACCGUGGAGGGUCAUUGGAAACUGGAGGACUUGAGUACAGAAGAGGAAAGCGGAAUUCCACGUGUAGCGGUGAAAUGCGUAGAGAUGUGGAGGAACACCAGUGGCGAAGGCGGCUUUCUGGUCUGUAACUGACGCUGAGGCGCGAAAGCGUGGGGAGCAAACAGG
rnacentral:rRNA from 1 species